GAUGAACGCUGGCGGCGUGCCUAAUACAUGCAAGUCGAGCGAACAGACGAGGAGCUUGCUCCUCUGACGUUAGCGGCGGACGGGUGAGUAACACGUGGAUAACCUACCUAUAAGACUGGGAUAACUUCGGGAAACCGGAGCUAAUACCGGAUAAUAUAUUGAACCGCAUGGUUCAAUAGUGAAAGACGGUUUUGCUGUCACUUAUAGAUGGAUCCGCGCCGCAUUAGCUAGUUGGUAAGGUAACGGCUUACCAAGGCUACGAUGCGUAGCCGAACUGAGAGGGUGAUCGGCCACACUGGAACUGAGACACGGUCCAGACUCCUACGGGAGGCAGCAGUAGGGAAUCUUCCGCAAUGGGCGAAAGCUUGACGGAGCAACGCCGCGUGAGUGAUGAAGGUCUUCGGAUCGUAAAACUCUGUUAUUAGGGAAGAACAAAUGUGUAAGUAACUAUGCACGUCUUGACGGUACCUAAUAAGAAAGCCACGGCUAACUACGUG
rnacentral:rRNA from 1 species